ACAACAGCCAAUCGUGUGGGGGUGCUGAUAGGGAUUAAUGGGCCAAGUCUGGAAGGCCCGAAACAAACCUCUUAGGUUAACUUAAAACGAAAGAAAAAAAAAGAAGAAAAAAGAAGCGUUAUUUUUGAUAGCCUUUCUCUCUCUUCAAUUUCCCAGCCGCUCACAACACUCUGUAAACCCUAAAACUCUUCUCUCUUCUUCGUUCAGUUUACCCUCACCCUCUCGACCUGUGAACAACAAAAACUAGGACAUCCAAGGCUAGGGAAAGCAAAGUCCGGUCAUGGCGGAAAACACAAGUUUAACGGCGGCCCUUACGAACUAUCACGGUGAUGCCGCCAUGAGUAUCCAGAACUCAAACCAACGUCAUACCCUACCCAAACACAAAGGAAAACCACAAACCUAAAUCUCACCGUGAAAUUUCCAAGAAAACCGAGAACAACAACAAACAAGAUCCCAAAAUCAGAAAAUCAAGAAAAAAAAAGACUCCAAAUCUUCAAAUCCAAACCAAACCAAAUGCAACAACAUCUUCACGCAAUAAUCAUGGGGGUCACGUUCUAGGAGGCAAUGCAAAUAUGACGAUAAUAUCAGAACAUGCAAAGGAGAGUUUUAAAUACCAAAUCGGAGCUAGUCCGACGUUAAGAUUUCGGCAAGGCGAGGUUACAGGAAGUUACAGGAAUGAAGUGACUUUGAUGGAUAGUUUGUGGGCUGUAAUACAGCAAGGUUGGAGGCGCGCCCCAAGUUCAAAGAGAUUUCAAUUUGAUUACCUGACUUUGGUCUUUAGGAUUUAUUCCCAUUUGUAGCAAAUUUCACUGUAAUUACAUUGGUUUUUUUUUAAGACAAAUGUGUGCUUGGAUUAUGUAACUUAUUGAAUUAAAAGUCUAAUAACCAUUAAUAAUUAUGUAUUCAA